rnacentral:rRNA from 1 species
AAUGUAGGUAAGGGAAGUCGGCAAAUUGGAUCCGUAACUUCGGAAUAAGGAUUGGCUCUGAGGACCGGGGCGUGUCGGGUUUGGACGGGAAGCGGAUGCGGCCGGUGCCGGGCCUGGUCGAUGCUGGUGCGCGUGUGCGCAGCGUGUUCGCGUCCCUGUAACAGGGGGCGUGCUCCGUUGUCGCAGCGUGUGUCCAGCGGAAUCCGGACCCGCGUUCCGGCCUUCCGCGGAUCUUCCUAGCCGUAAGGCCGUGUCGGCCUCGUCUCGUGCGCGAUCGGCGCGGUUCUGUACGACCGCCGUUCAACGGUCAGCUCAGAACUGGCACGGACAAGGGGAAUCCGACUGUCUAAUUAAAACAAAGCAUUGCGAUGGCCCUCGCGGGUGUUGACGCAAUGUGAUUUCUGCCCAGUGCUCUGAAUGUCAACGUGAAGAAAUUCAAGCAAGCGCGGGUAAACGGCGGGAGUAACUAUGACUCUCUUAAGGUAGCCAAAUGCCUCGUCAUCUAAUUAGUGACGCGCAUGAAUGGAUUAACGAGAUUCCCGCUGUCCCUAUCUACUAUCUAGCGAAACCACAGCAAGGGAACGGGCUUGGGAGAAUCAGCGGGGAAAGAAGACCCUGUUGAGCUUGACUCUAGUCUGGCAUUGUAAGGAGACAUGAGAGGUGUAGCAUAAGUGGGAGAUCGUUCGCGGUCGUCGCUGAAAAACCACUACUUUCAUUGUUUCAUUACUUACUCGGUUGGGCGGAAGCGGUGCGCGGUCGAUAACAAUCGACGGGCGUACGGUGUUUCGUUCCAAGCGUGCAGAGUGGCGGCGUGGCGGCAACGCUCGUCGCCAUACAACUCCCGCGUGAUCCGGUUCGAGGACACUGCCAGGCGGGGAGUUUGACUGGGGCGGUACAUCUGUCAAAGAAUAACGCAGGUGUCCUAAGGCCAGCUCAGCGAGGACAGAAACCUCGCGUGGAGCAAAAGGGCAAAAGCUGGCUUGAUCCAGAUGUUCAGUACGCAUAGGGACUGCGAA